rnacentral:tmRNA from 1 species
GGGGACGUUUUGGAUUUGACAGGACGUUCGGUGGAAAUAGACUGCGAGUCGGAGAGCUGUUCUCCGUUAUCAACGGGCAAAACAAAUUAAAUGCUAACAACAUUGUUGAAGCAGACUUCACUCCUGCAAGAUAUGCAGUUGCAGCGUAGUUCUGUGUAGCUCCUUAUAAAGCCCAGCUUGCCGGUUUUAUAGGGCCAUUAUGCAAGCGGCAGUGAACAGAUGACGAUAUGUUCAUCAAGAUUAAUCGUCAAAAGUUAGUGUUUCUUUAAAAAACACUUUGAGCCUCACAACAGGUUAAGAUAUUUCCCGGAGGCUUGAGCGAAUAAUAUCUACACUCGUAGACGUUUAUUGAAAUCCGUUUUGGACAGGGGUUCAACUCCCCUCGUCUCCACCA